rnacentral:misc_RNA from 1 species
AUCCCGAUCCCAAGCACCAUGGAGCCGACGAUUUGGAUCAAGACCUACAUCCCAAGCACCAAGGUGCCUGGUUGAUAUGGAUCGCGAUCCCGAUCUGGAGCUCCAGGGCGCCGAGGAUUUCGAUCACGAUCCCGAUCUGAAGCACCGAGUAGCCGAGGAUAUGGAUCAAGACCCCGGUCCGAAGCGACAAGGAGGCAAGGAUUUGGAUCACCACUCCGAUCAAAGGCACCAAGGCGUCGAGGGAUUGGAUCGAGAUCCCGAUCCCAAUCAUGAAGUUGGCUAUGUAAUUUCCUGUUUUCCACACCGUUCAGGGCAUUUUGGUGGUCGUAUCGGCUUUUAGUUGCUUGCUUGGUGUUAGUGCCAAGGGAGGGGUUGGAAGCUAGGUCGUCCUCUGGAAUGCUUGUUGUAAAGGUGUAUGAGUUGUGUUUGGCUUGUUACGGGUGUUUGUUGGCUGCUUGUGCAGGAACUUUCAUGCGUCCAAGCCUCUUCAGUUGUGCUACAAGGCCUUGUUUGUCUUGUGCAUACGGUGGGUUUCCUGUGUUGCAUACCUAAUCAAGGGCAUCGUAUGGCUUAAUCGAAGUAAAUAUUCGUAAUGCGCCGCUUGCGGCGUUGCACGAACCUCGAAGUGGUCCCUGUGGCCCAUGUUGUCUAUGCUCACGUAUGGAUGGCAUGGCCCUCGGAGCGUCGCUUGGUCUCUUGGAUACGGAACCUGAUGAUGUGGGCGGUAGGGUCUUGGAUGAUUCUACCUUCGC